GUGCUUGCUUUAGCUGCACAUAUACUAAAAUUAGAAUGAUAUAGAGAAAAUGAGCUUAACCCCUGUGCAAGGAUGACACAUAUAUUCAUGAAGUAUUCCAUAUUUUU